rnacentral:lncRNA from 1 species
AGUGGAUAAGGAUGAUUGGUUGGCCAUUCAAAUUCAAAAUAAAGUUUGAAUUUGAAUGAGCAACCAAUCUUAGCGCCUUGACCUUAUCCUCUUUUAACGCCCCAUUUAUUACACGAGAAAAUAUUUCUCAUGAAAUCACUCAUGCACAAAUUAAGCCACGCCCUCCUCUUCUCACACCCUUAGUGGAUAGGGAUAAAUUGAUUUCCAUUUAAAUUCAAAAUUUGAUUUGAAUUCAAAUGUGCAAUUACUCAUCU